UUCAGUCGUAAUGUUUUCUUU
rnacentral:piRNA from 1 species